GACGAACCGUGCGAACGUUGUUCGGAAUCACUGGGCUUAAAGGGCGCGUAGGCGGGCUGUCAAGUCUGGGGUGAAAUCCCGCGGCUCAACCGUGGAACUGCCUUAGAUACUGACGGCCUCGAGGGAGAUAGGGGCGAGCGGAACUGUGAGUGGAGCGGUGAAAUGCGUUGAUAUUCACAGGAACUCCGGUGGCGAAGGCGGCUCGCUGGAUCUCUUCUGACGCUGAGGCGCGAAAGCUAGGGGAGCAAACGGG
rnacentral:rRNA from 1 species